rnacentral:rRNA from 1 species
CCUACGGGGGGCUGCAGUAAGGAAUAUUGGACAAUGGAGGGAACUCUGAUCCAGCCAUGCCGCGUGGAGGAUGAAGGCGCUCAGCGUUGUAAACUCCUUUUGGACGGGAACAAAUCACUUCACGUGUGGAGUGUUGAGGGUACUGUCAGAAUAAGCACCGGCUAACUCCGUGCCAGCAGCCGCGGUAAUACGGAGGGUGCAAGCGUUAUCCGGAAUCACUGGGUUUAAAGGGUGCGUAGGCGGUUGGCUAAGUCAGUUGUGAAAUCGCUGGGCUU